GCCCAACAAUGUCACCUGGCAGUACUGCAUUUGUGGGGUCUGAUUCUCAGCAUUUCAAAGCAGAGCACACUGCUGUCCAUAUACGUGGAAUUGGCCCGUUUCUCAUGGAUGGGAUCAUACGAGCCAAGCACAUGACAUGGCAACAAAACAAACCAAUCCGUGGACCCAGAAACCCAAUGCGUUGUUUUAACAAUGAUGUUCUUGACUGAUCUGCUUCUGCUCCUAUUAAGGACCCGCUUCCAGAUAUCGAGGCGUCUUGGAGGCCAACCAGUAAUUAGAAGGUUUCUCAGUGAGAGUGCACUCAGCACCAAGGAAGGGAAUCUUGAGGAGUAUUUCACCCUCUUUGUGAUCCCCCUGUACCUAGUGUUCUGCCACUAUGGUGCAACCAAUCACACUGAACAGAAUUUAUUAGAUUAUACAAUUGUCUUCCUAGGAACUUCCUAUGUACUCUUAAAGAACAGAAGCCGUGUCUUGGCUGCACAAUAAACGUGUGUUGCAUUGAAAUUAUUAAGUUGGACUCUCUUCAUCCCAAAACGCAACCCAGACUAGUUAGAAUACGAGCACUUGCCAGAGUCAAUGUGCACAUCUCUCUUAGAAAGGACAGAGUAAACCAUUCUGGCUAUGGAGUGGAGAAAAAAUUAGAAGGCAAGUGGAGACGCAAGUGGACAAAUUAAGGGGCUAAUUGCUAAUUUAGGCAAGAAACAAUUGUAGAUGGACAAAUAAUUGUUGUAUAUUCAUAUAAUGGAAUGGAAUGGAAAACUACACAAUUGAGAAAAAGAACAAACUAUUGAUCUAUGCAACAGCAUGAAUGACUCUCAUAGACGAUGUGACAAGAAAGAAGCCAAACUCCAGAUGUAUACGAGAGCAAAGGAACCAGAGGCAGCAAAAUCACGAAUAAUCUCCAUGCAUGUGAUGGUGCCAGAAACAUCCCUGGAGACUGCUUUUUCUAAAGAGAAACUGUAUA
rnacentral:lncRNA from 1 species